rnacentral:misc_RNA from 1 species
GAUGAAGAACGUAGCGAAAUGCGAUAAGUAAUGUGAAUUGCAGAAUUCAGUGAAUCAUCGAAUCUUUGAACGCACAUUGCGCCCGCCAGUAUUCUGGCGGGCAUGCCUGUCUGAGCGUCAUUUCAACCCUCAUGCCCCUAGGGCGUGGUGUUGGGGAUCGGCCAAAGCCCGCGAGGGACGGCCGGCCCCUAAAUCUAGUGGCGGACCCGUCGUGGCCUCCUCUGCGAAGUAGUGAUAUUCCGCAUCGGAGAGCGACGAGCCCCUGCCGUUAAACCCCCAACUUUCCAAGGUUGACCUCAGAUUAGGUAGGAAUACCCGCUGAACUUAAGCAUAUCAAUAAGCGGAGGA